rnacentral:rRNA from 1 species
CUAGCGUUGUUCGGAAUCACUGGGCGUAAAGCGCACGUAGGCGGAUUUGUUAGUCAGGGGUGAAAUCCCGGGGCUCAACCUCGGAACUGCCUUUGAUACUGCAAAUCUCGAGUCCGGAAGAGGUGGGUGGAAUUCCUAGUGUAGAGGUGAAAUUCGUAGAUAUUAGGAAGAACACCGGUGGCGAAGGCGGCCCACUGGUCCGACACUGACGCUGAUGCGCGAAAGCCAGGGGAGCGAAUGGG